rnacentral:pre_miRNA from 1 species
AAAUGAAUCACUUAAUGAUCUUGUUAAAAUGCUGGUUCUAAUUCAAUAAGUCUGGAAUAGGGCUGAGAUUCUGCAUUUUUAACAGGAUCUCAGGGGAUUCCAUU